UACGAAGGGGGCUAGCGUUGUUCGGAAUUACUGGGCGUAAAGCGCGCGUAGGCGGAUUUGUAAGUCAGGGGUGAAAUCCCGGGGCUCAACCUCGGAACUGCCUUUGAUACUGCAAGUCUCGAGUCCGAUAGAGGUGAGUGGAAUUCCUAGUGUAGAGGUGAAAUUCGUAGAUAUUAGGAAGAACACCAGUGGCGAAGGCGGCUCACUGGAUCGGUACUGACGCUGAGGUGCGAAAGCGUGGGGAGCAAACAGG
rnacentral:rRNA from 1 species